GAAAGAGCAAUGGGUGACCAAGGUUCGAUCCUUGGUGCCGUCGUAGGAUUAACGCAAAAAGGAGACGACAUGCAUUCAGUCUUAUUGAUUUAGUUAUUUUACAAAAAAAAAAAAAAAGAAAACUACGCUAUACUAAGCCAAGUCAGCAGCUCCGGAUGGGUUGAGGCUGAGCUCAAGAGAAACGGGAGAACCACUGUUGUAACUGCCAGAGCCACCGGAAUAGUAGCCAUAUGCGCUACCUCCCUCGGAAGUAGUCUUCGGGUCUCCAAGGACGUCCUCAUCGUGCACUGGGAACAGAGGAAGAGUUUCGACCUCCUGGUGAUCUCCUCCUCGUCGUUCCAUGAAUGAUUGUAACCCAAGGGUUAGAUCGAUCGAUCCAUCAUUAUCAGUGGAAUCGGUGGAACCGAAGUUGAGAUCGAUGGAUCUGCCACCAUCAAUAGAACUUGUAGAUCCAAAUUUGAGAUCGAGGGAUCCACCAACCCGAACGUUCCGGAUUUCCUUCAACUUCUGACUCUCACGAGCCUUGAGGUUCUGGAACCAAUAGAAAACGUUUUUGUUCUCGAUCUGCCCAUACGGCUUCAGAUGGAGACAGAUCCCUUGAAUCUGCUCUGGAUUUGGGUUUUUAAGCCCCCUGUCGUAGUAAAGCUCCUGGAGGAUUCUCAGUUGAGCUGGUGUUGGAGCCCACCGGUUAUUGGUUGGCCUGAUAGGUGUGUUGGCACUACUCCCGGCUGCUUGGUUGCUUCCUCCCUCCUCGGUUGGUUGCUGUUGUUGUAGUUCCAGAUAUUGUUGGGCUUGUAGUUCCAUUUGCUGUUGGGUUUGAAGCUCCAUUAGUUGCAGAGUUCGUGGUUCCAUGGUGAUGAGUUGAGAGAAAGUGAAAAUUGAAGAACGAAGUUUGUUGACUGUUUAAGGAAAAGUGUGGUUAAAAGGAUUGAAGUUGAUGAAGUGGAGUUGGGGAUCUGAAGUUCUCAGAUGAAGGAAGAGGUUGAGUCUUUCAGAUGGAAGAAAAGGAUCUGAGAGAGAAGGAUUGAAGAUUGGUGAAGGAAAGACUGGAGAUUUGAGAAGAGAAGGCUGAAGAGUUUGAGAGAGAAUGGCUAAAGCUCGGAAUGAAAUUAUUUUCCUUUGGAGUGAACAGUCGUUUCCUCAGAAUGCACCUAUUUAUAGAACGAGGUGAGCAGAUCUCCACCGUUGGAUGGACGAUCUAUGUGAUUCAUUCUACGCGUUGGAUUAAAAGUUGCCCGAAAACACGGAAAAGCUGUUGGCGCGUGGAGAGCGUGUAAUAGGACAGGACGAAUCUCGAGGCGCUGUGGCAGACAGCUUUAGCCGAAAGCGAUUCUGAUUUCCGUAAUUUACGGAAGGGAUAAGCCGCGGCUGGUGGGCCGUACUUGGGCUUGUCUCGGAUCAAGGCCCUCACUGUAGCUAUAGGUGGAGGCCCGAUGGGCCGAGUUCUGAAAUAGUUUGGCGAAAUUCAAGGGCUGGAUUUCUGCAAUAGUAGUGGAUAUGUUGGGCCGGAUUUCUGCAACAGUAGUGGAUAUGUUGGGCCGGAUUUCUGCAACAGUUUUGGGUGUUUUGGGCCAAAUUGUUGAAACAGUUUGAAACAGCUUGGUUUAAAUAAAAGGAUUGGUAUGGAUAAUAACGUGAGCAGCUCGUGCUAGAGUGGUUGAGUGUGGUGUUCGUGUACAAGAGGUCUGAGGUUCGAACCUCGCCUCUCGUUUAUUUUUAUUAUGUUCGUUUUUGACAUAAUAAAUAUAACACGUGAGCAUAUAUUAAUGAAAGCAGCUCUUGCUUCAGUGGUUGGGAGCAAAACCCUCGUGUUCGAGAUCGGGAGUUCGAACCUUACCUCUUACAAUUAUUUUUGGACCUUGUAUAUGCUCAGUAUACGGACGUAUUUUAUACGUAGAGCCGUAACUUAGUAGAUUACUACAGUUUUAGUAAAGAUGGAGUUUUGGUGGUUGGCUAGUAUUCUGUAUGAACUACAGAAAACCUUAAUCGGGAGAAAUGGACUUGCGAUUAAAUUUCGGGACGAAAUUUCUUUAAGGAGGGUAGACUGUAAUACCCCGAAAAAUCCAAAUUAAAUUCCGUGGAUUUUUAUAAUUGAUUUUGCGGUAUUACGAGUGAGUACGAAGCUUGGAGAAGUUGUGGAAGUAGUUCGAACGAUUUUAUUUCCGAAAACGAACGUUAUUUAGGGGCCCGCGAAAGUUGACUUUUAUACGUACCGAAUUUGGGAAAACUUCCUUCAUGAAAGUUGUAGAGCUCAUCGAUACGAUCGCGUGCAUAUGUGGAACGCAAUAUUCGGAGUUCGUAUGAAUAAGUUAUGAAUAUUUGAAAUUUGGAAAUUUUCUAUAAAUAGAGGGAAUUUCCGGAUUUUUCAUUAAGGACGAGAAAACUUAAGUUUUGCUGAACAGUCCCUCCCCCCCCCGGUUCUCUCUCUCUCGCUCGAAACCCUUCCCAGGCCCGCAGACCCGCCGACCCGACCCGGACGAAAAUUCCCCUUCCGGCCUCCUCCGGCCCCGGACCCGGACUCCCCUGGGAUCGCCGGCCCACGACGAGCCUCCCUCUGGUGUUUCCUUGCCUCACCGCUGCCCCGAAAGCCGGAUCGAAGUCACCCAGACUCCGAUCGGUGACCCGGCCGGAUUUCUAGUUUUCCGGCGUCCCCUCGGCCGAUCCUCCCCAUUUUCGUGAUCUCCUCCUCAUGCUGAUCAUCCCCAUAUUCAAUCUGAUCAGAUCAGACGCACCGGAUUGAUCCAAACUUGAAAGCUUGAUCUAGGACGAUCUAGGCCGAAUCAGACUUAGCUCCAGGUACUUGACGGUUUGAGUUGACGAGCGUUUGGAAUAUCGUUAUAAUUGACUUGUUAGAAGACGCAACGGGAUUAGAGAUCGAACACCUUCAAGAAUAGUGAGGCUGGCUAGAGUACUAAUCACUGAUAAUUAGCUUCUGGGGCACAUGAUAUGGCUGCAUAGACAAGACUCCUAGGAGAAGUUUGAGGGAUCUCAGUGAAGCCAAUAACAAUGAUGCUGAUAAUCAGCUUUUAAGCUUUGAGCCAUUACCAUCAGAAUUGUAUGUAAACAAUUCCCAACUUCUGUAUUUUUUUUCAGUCUGUGUGAUUGGUUUCUGAGUUUCAGUGUGUAAUUGAGAGGGAGUAGUCAAAUUUUAGUUUUUGGUUACAAUACAUGUUCUAUAUAUAAGACUAGUUAUAUACAUAAAUACAACUGAUUUAUACGUAAGGCUUACGCCUUACGCCUCAAGGCGAACGCCUUCUUGAGGCUCUCCCGAAAA